GAUGAACGCUGGCGGCGUGCCUAAUACAUGCAAGUCGAGCGAGCAGACGAGGAGCUUGCUCCUCUGACGUUAGCGGCGGACGGGUGAGUAACACGUGGAUAACCCACCUAUAAGACUGGGAUAACUUCGGGAAACCGGAGCUAAUACCGGAUAAUAUAUUGAACCGCAUGGUUCAAUAGUGAAAGACGGUUUUGCUGUCACUUAUAGAUGGAUCCGCGCCGCAUUAGCUAGUUGGUAAGGUAACGGCUUACCAAGGCAACGAUGCGUAGCCGACCUGAGAGGGUGAUCGGCCACACUGGAACUGAGACACGGUCCAGACUCCUACGGGAGGCAGCAGUAGGGAAUCUUCCGCAAUGGGCGAAAGCCUGACGGAGCAACGCCGCGUGAGUGAUGAAGGUCUUCGGAUCGUAAAACUCUGUUAUUAGGGAAGAACAAAUGUGUAAGUAACUAUGCACGUCUUGACGGUACCUAAUCAGAAAGCCACGGCUAACUACGUG
rnacentral:rRNA from 1 species